UACGUAGGGGGCAAGCGUUGUCCGGAUUCAUUGGGCGUAAAGAGCUCGUAGGCGGUUCAGCAAGUCGGGUGUGAAACCUCCAGGCUCAACCUGGAGACGCCACCCGAUACUGCUGUGACUUGAGUCCGGUAGGGGACCACGGAAUUCCUGGUGUAGCGGUGAAAUGCGCAGAUAUCAGGAGGAACACCGGUGGCGAAGGCGGCCCGCUGGGCAGAGACUGACGCUGAGGCGCGACAGCGUGGGGAGCAAACAGG
rnacentral:rRNA from 1 species